AAACGAGAAAAAGUAUUCUCAUUUAUUAGUAAUAAAUAUGCUAACCGAAUCAAGGUAUCACUUUAAAGUUAUGAGAUUAUCAGUUAAAUUAUUCAUGUUAAAAGGAUACUACCUCAAGAUGGUUGGGUUAUAGGAAAACUUCUUUGCCUAUAUUUUGGGAGAGGCAUAUAAACAUGUGUGUUUAGAAAGAAAUUUGACAGAAAAGGUGACGUAGAAAUGGUCAUAAUCUUUGCCCUAAUCAUUCUACUCUAAAGAAUAAUUGAAAAGUGGAAGAAAGCCCCAUAUAUAUGAACAAUUUUAUUGCCAACAUUGUAUGUAACAUAAAAAGGGAAUGUAAUGUCAAAAUGUAAUGUAAAAAACAUACAUAUUUAGAUAACUAUGAUUUUAACUAUGAUUAAAAACAUACAUAUUUAGAUAACUUUUGCAAUGUUACAUAGCUAUUAAAAAGUUAUUAUAAAGCAGGUUCUCAACUUGAGUGUGCAUCAGAAUCACCUGGAGAGCUUAUAAAAACACAGCUUACUCAGCCCAAGUCCAAGUUCUUGAUUCAGUAGGUCUGGAAUGGGAAUCUAGAAUUUGCAUUUCUGACAAUUUCCAGGUAAUGCUGGUCCAAGGACCACACUUUGAGAACUCUCAAUAGUGCAAAGAGAUAUUUUAGUGAAAUCAUGGUUAAAAGCAUGGGGUAAGGAAGACAGUCAGACUCAUUGGAAUUCCAGCUUUAAAGCUAUCAUGGGCCCAAAGCUCUAGAGUUUCUACAAACUCUUCAGGGAUCUCUGAAAAGGCUUGAGACAGAUGCUGAGUCCUGCAGGAAGCUCUGAGAUGGCGCCUGUCUUUCUGGCGCGCCCGCAGGAAGAGGUUUCAGCUGAAACAGCCCGCGAGCUUCAUUCGAGCUCCACGUGGGGGCGAGACUCCGAGGAGAUGUCUGGUCGGAUGCUAUUGCCAUGAUCAACUCUCCUUAGUGUUUGCAAACCUCAAAGAAGAGGUUUUGAAGAAGUCUAGCUUCAGUAUCCACCCAUGCCCAUUAAGCCUCAUUUUCUGUUACAAAAAUGAGGUUAAUAACAGCAUCUAUUUAAAGGGUUGUGAGGAGUGAAUGAGAUUGCUGACCCAUGAAAAGUGCUCUGUAUGGUGCUUUCUCAAAAAAAUACUCAAAUGUUAGCUAUCAUUAUUACCCCUGCCGAAUGAGACAGGGAAUGGGAAGGUUCUGUAAAAUAAAGAGCAGCCUCAUGCCCACUCUCCUCGCACCCUCUAUGCUUCCUCUCAGCCGGUAGACUCGGUGUUUCUGCAAGCACAUCCUGGAAUUUCUCCCGUUUCUUCAGU
rnacentral:lncRNA from 10 species